AUCGCUUCUCGGCCUUUUGGCUAAGAUCAAGUGUAGAAGCCAGUGAAUCUUCAUUUUGGUAGCACUAAUAAUAUUAUAUUAUAGCAACCAUUUCAAUUUUAAGACUAUCAAGAACUGGCAUAAUAUUU
ensembl:snRNA U2 U2 spliceosomal RNA